UUGGCAUGUGUGAAUCUUCCUGAUGUAUGUUAAAUAUAAUCUUUCCCUCGUCACCCUUUGGUAGCAAAGCCAUCAGAUGAAAGGAGAAACCGAUACAAGCUCAAAGCAUGUGAUGUCUGUCCCGCGGCCCCAACAGCCUCUGGUCCGUAACUUUCUAGACUAGUGUGUAGGCUGCUGUAAGGUGAGUCAAGAGGCAGUCUCCAUUGGAUGUUCCCGUUCCCCUCAGAAUGGUGUUUCAGAAAUUAGGUGGUGCUGUUGCCAUGCUUGAGUCCAUGCUGAUUUUUACACACUACAUGUAUAACCUACCUCAAAUCUCAGUCAUUAAAAUUAGCAUGCUUUAGACGUAUAUUUAAAAAGUAACUAUGCACAGCUCCUUAUUCCCCGCCCCUUGCUGCUGAAGGUUUCUUAAAGAGAAAAAUCAAAUUUUUAUUUUUUACUGGCACUAUCAUUUUUUAAGUCCUAAAGAUGAUUAACAGACAUUUUUAUCAUGAGAAGAAAAAUAAAGCCAUUGCAACUAACAAACCUAACAGCAUGACCAAGUUGUAGAGUAAUAAUAUAGCAACGAGAGAUGACGGAGUCUUCGCGUCCUCUCCCCAGUGUGCCCUGUCCACAGACGCCAUCCACAUGCAGCGCGAAUAUCUGGUUCCCCUUUUGUUUGGUCUCCCCUGCCUUUUGCAUGCAAGGGAAGUGCUUGCAAAAUUCUGUGCUAAGAGAUUUUUAAGAUAAAAAUCGCUUUGCGGCAGGUUCUCACAAAAUAACUGGUGCUAGCUCAAGAACCCAUUAUCAGAAAUCUUGACUAAAGUUGUUUCAUGGAUUUUGAGGUUUUGUUGUUUCUGGUGUUGUCAUUUGGUUUGGAAUUUUUUUUUUUUUUUUUUUUUUUUUUUUUUUGCCAGGGCCUAAAUUUCCCACAUGCUGGCUUUUGUGGGUCCUGCUUGCCCUCUCGCUGGGGUGACCAUGGUGUGUGUGGAAAGAGCUCAGACCCUGCCCCUUCUUGGUCCUUCCACCAGCCUCUUUUGGAAAUGGUAGCUUGCAGAGCAAGGGAUUUUUAAAGUGCUAAAGCAAGGAAAGGAGCAGAGCUCAAGUGCUUUGUAUGGAACAGCACUAGAUGUGUGAGGACAGUUGAUGAGUAGAUGGUGAUCUGAUUUCAUGGAGAAAAAAAAUGCAGUCAGACUUUGUGAAGUGGAAGCACCGCCAGAUCUCAAACCAAGGCAACGCUGGUGGAAAGUUUAAGUGAUACCCCUGACGUGCCUCAACCAGUCUCUUUCCUUUUGUUACUGAAGUGUGUUUUAUGGACUAGGAAGCAUUUUUAUGAAUUGAAAUAGUCUAAAUAAAAUGGUGCUAUGGUGUUUUAAUGUGACUGUCCCUGAUCCUGUCCUGCUGAGGUGCUAUCAAGGUUCUGAAACCGCAACCAACCAAAAACAAGGUGGGCUCCAGUCUCUCUUGGCUUCCCCCUCUUCCCCUUUUGGUGCUGUCUCCUUAGACCUCUGUUUACCGUGCUAAAACCUGCUCUGAGCAGUUUUUCUGUUUCAUUUGAUUAUUCUUCCCCUGGUGGCCAAACACAGGAAGGCAAGUUCUAAAGGCAGCUGGCUCCCCUGACUGUGAGGGGAGUGGGCCUGCCUGGCGUGGCAGGUGCUCUGGUUACACGUCUGUCCUCUCAGGCCUCAUGAGAAAGAAAGGGGAAUCUGAUCCUCCUGCCGUUUCUACAUGGCAGGCAUUCUCAUAGCGAGGACACACAGCUUCCUCCUCCAGCCCAGGGUGCCAGGUGGACACCUGUGAGGGUCUCCAAAGGCACUCACAUACUACGGCAUCCUGAAUGGACCUCCUUCCUCCCCUGGCCAGGGCCAGGGUGGGAAGCAGGCUCACUCCUUGGCUCCUCACAGCACUUGCCCCAGCGUUGCUAUCAUCAGUGACCCCCCUUCCACCCACCCUGUGUUCAAAUAAAGGAAGGAGCUUUCUUUGCUCACUUGAGGCCACUGAGGCUGCUUUUUAGUUGGUGCUAAUCUAAAUUUCUUCUUGGGUCCACAGAAGUUGUUUGAAAAACGUAACAGGAAGCUCCAUUUUGUGUCAUCCACUGUCACAAUAAUUUUUUUAAAUACCUCAAAAACAGGACAUUGUGACAACUUCAGUGAGGUAGAUUCUGUGAGGGUCCGAUACCUGCAGGUUGCCCAUCUGAUGACUUACUUGACCUUGAAGAAUCCAGGGUCAUUUUAUUUUUCACUCUUCGGCAGUUAAUAAUGGCAGGCCAUCUAAAGGAAGGCGUGUGGUUGACUUUAUUUCAUUUUCUUUGUAAGUUUUGCUCUCGAAUAAAAUGUGAAUCUCCUAGGCCCAUCUCAUUGAGCUUUUUCUGGCAUUGUUGCUGUCAUUUGAAAUGACUUCCUCAAAACCUACUUUGUCAGCCAGCGGCAUCUGCUGUAGUACACGGCCAACGUCGACAUACCCUGGACCAAAACGUUUUGAGGUGCAUAUCCCAGCAUAGGUUAUACAGCCCCACACCCACGCGUGCAUAGAGCAUUUCCACGUGAGACUCCGUCUUGGCGCUCCCAGCCCUUCCUCCCGCAGAGCUGCCCCCAAGAGCAGAGCAAUAGGCUUCUCCCCUGAGCAGAGGCUGCAGCACAGAAAUGCAAGGCCGAAAGUUGCUUUUGGCCUAAGGAUCAGUGAUGAUUUGGCCUACUUCCUCAGUUGCUUCUAUUCUGAUAUCAGGGAUGCUUUUUGUAGUGGUAUCAUUUGCGCUCUUCUCAUUUUGACUACCCGUCGUCAUUCAGGGAUAAUUCAUCACUAUUCACAUGGGGAUUUAAAAAAUACUAUUUGGCUCAUUUGAACAUCCAAAUUUUCUUGAUUCCAGAUUUUUUUUUUCUUUUGAGGGGAAAAAGGAGGAGAAAAACAGGAGUGAUGUCAUUUCUUUUUCACAUAUUCUAAUUAUAAAAAGAAAUAAGGGCAGGUCAUAUUGUGGCAUAUUAAUGCAUUAGACUUAAUCUAGAACCCUUGUAGCUUUUUGAUGUGUUUUAUUUCUUCUCUCUUUGAAUUCCUGUUUGGUUACUUGGCUUCCAAUGGAGGUGAACUUAACAACCAUACUUGAAUAUUCCGUCUUGACUUUGUAACUGUGGCUACUUGAAAUGAAGUUUAUCUGGGGUUGAUGGAUGAAUGGUAGAUUUUUGCAAUGUCUCAAGGCAAUAGGAUGUGUAUUAUUAAACUGUAGAUAUUCUUAGUACAGUAAAUUUAUGCUGAUAAUUUUAUUUUGUAUAAUUUUUACCUUUUUGUUAAUAUUUUUUCCUCCCACUUUAUUGGUUUGCCUCCUGAGCUACCCCUCCUUACCCUCCCUUCUCCCCCAGUGUUUCAGUAAAUUUAAUUUAGGGUGCCUAGAAAUUGCAAGUAUGUAUCCUUUUUUGAUUUGUAUUUUAUUAUAAUUUACACAAACAACUGGGUUUGUGAACUGUAUUACUCCUGGUAUCUUUAAAAUAUUGUGGGUGUUUUAAUAAAUUUUAUAUUUAUUUUU
rnacentral:lncRNA from 1 species